rnacentral:rRNA from 1 species
UACGUAGGGUGCGAGCGUUGUCCGGAAUUACUGGGCGUAAAGAGCUCGUAGGUGGUUUGUCGCGUUGUCCGUGAAAACUCACAACUCAAUUGUGGGCGUGCGGGCGAUACGGGCAGACUGGAGUACUGCAGGGGAGACUGGAAUUCCUGGUGUAGCGGUGGAAUGCGUAGAUAUCGAGAGGAACACCUGCGGCGAAGGCGGGUUGCUGGGCUGAUACUGACGCUGAGGCGCGAAAGCCAGGGGAGCGAACGGG